AGUCCAUUCCGUGGUGAUUUGGCCGGUCGGCUUGCAGCCACGUUAAAGAAGUCGCUAAAAAGGCCGAGGCUGACGAGCA
rnacentral:ncRNA from 1 species